rnacentral:rRNA from 1 species
AACGAACGCUGGCGGCAGGCCUAACACAUGCAAGUCGAACGAUAAGCCACCUUCGGGUGGUGGACAGUGGCAGACGGGUGAGUAACGCGUGGGAACGUGCCUUUCGGUUCGGGAUAACCCAGGGAAACUUGGGCUAAUACCGGAUACGCGCUUCGGGGGAAAGAUUCAUUGCCGAAAGAUCGGCCCGCGUCGGAUUAGCUAGUUGGUGGGGUAAUGGCCUACCAAGGCGACGAUCCGUAGCUGGUCUGAGAGGAUGACCAGCCACACUGGGACUGAGACGCGGCCCAGACUCCUACGGGAGGCAGCAGUGGGGAAUAUUGGACAAUGGGCGAAAGCCUGAUCCAGCCAUGCCGCGUGGGUGAAGAAGGCCUUAGGGUUGUAAACCCCUUUCAGCGGGGACGAUAAUGACGGUACCCGCAGAAGAAGUCCCGGCUAACUCCGUGCCAGCCGCCGCAGUAACAC